rnacentral:SRP_RNA from 1 species
GCUGGGCGCGGUGGCACUUGCCUGUAGUCCCAGCUACUCGGGAGGCUGAGGUGGGAGAAUUGCUUGAGCCCAGGAGGUUGAGGCUGCAGUGAACCAUGAUGGCGCCACUGCACUCCAGCCUGGGCAACAGAGUGAGACCCUGUCUCAA